UACGAAGGGGGCUAGCGUUGCUCGGAAUCACUGGGCGUAAAGCGCACGUAGGCGGCUUCUUAAGUCAGGGGUGAAAUCCUGGAGCUCAACUCCAGAACUGCCUUUGAUACUGAGGAGCUUGAGUCCGGGAGAGGUGAGUGGAACUGCGAGUGUAGAGGUGAAAUUCGUAGAUAUUCGCAAGAACACCAGCGGCGAAGGCGGCUCACUGGCCCGGUACUGACGCUGAGGUGCGAAAGCGUGGGGAGCAAACAGG
rnacentral:rRNA from 1 species